rnacentral:rRNA from 1 species
UUGGGAAUAUUGGACAAUGGGGGUAACCCUGAUCCAGCAAUCCCGCGUGAGUGAUGAAGGCCUUCGGGUCGUAAAGCUCUUUUAGUAGGGACGAAGGGAAACUUGACGGUACCUACAGAAAAAGCACCGGCUAACUCUGUGCCAGCAGCCGCGGUAAUACAGAGGGUGCAAGCGUUGUUCGGAAUCAUUGGGCGUAAAGCGCGAGUAGGCGGCUUCUUAAGUCUGAUGUGAAAGCCCGGGGCUUAACCCCGGAAGUGCAUUGGAUACUGGGAAGCUAGAGGGUGUAAGAGGAGAGUGGAAUUCAUGGUGUAGGGGUGAAAUCCGUAGAUAUCAUGAGGAACAUCAGUGGCGAAGGCGGCUCUCUGGUACACUUCUGACGCUCAGACGCGAAAGCAUGGGG